rnacentral:rRNA from 1 species
CCUACGGGGGGCUGCAGUGGGGAAUAUUGGACAAUGGGGGGAACCCUGAUCCAGCCAUGCCGCGUGUGUGAAGAAGGCCCUCGGGUUGUAAAGCACUUUCAGUGAGGAAGAACGCCUGGUGGUUAAUACCCAUCAGGAAAGACAUCACUCACAGAAGAAGCACCGGCUAACUCCGUGCCAGCAGCCGCGGUAAUACGGAGGGUGCGAGCGUUAAUCGGAAUUACUGGGCGUAAAGCGCGCGUAGGUGGCUUGAUAAGCCGGUUGUGAAAGCCCCGGGCUCAACCUGGGAACGGCAUCCGGAACUGUCAAGCUAGAGUGCAGGAGAGGAAGGUAGAAUUCCCGGUGGAGCGGUGAAAUGCGUAGAGAUCGGGAGGAAUACCAGUGGCGAAGGCGGCCUUCUGGACUGACACUGACACUGAGGUGCGAAAGCGUGGGUAGCAAACAGGAUUAGAUACCCUUGUAGUC